UGUUCUGGAAUAGACAAUAAUAACCUUGCUUAAUUUGCUGCCAUUUCACAAAAUUGAGGGUAAAUUGAGUCUUAUAUAACUAAAUGUCAGCCAAUUACCUGGUUUUGGUUACAUUAGAAACAUGCUUUAUAAGGCUAUAAGCUGAAAACGAUUAUAUUUAUAUUAUUUGAACCCACAUUGGUUGCAUUUCAACUAAAAGUAGCUGACAUGAAGCAACAACUUUAAAAAUGUACCGGUUCCACAUGGCUAUGAAACUUUUGAGCUGGUGAAGAACAUUAAUGAAACGAAGGAGUUGUGGAAAAAAGUCGUUCGAAUCCAUCUCAAAUGGGUUGUUGUUAAGAAAAAUAAGGAACAUUUUGAGAUGGUUGUCGUUGAUAAUGAUGAAUUGGUAAAAAUCUCGAGUAGUGGAGUUUGAGAAGUUAAUUAUUAAUUAUAAUGGUGCAUAGUACUCUUACAAAAUAAAAGUACCUUUGAUUCUGAAAAAAGUUACUUACGCGUAG